rnacentral:tRNA from 1 species
CAGAAAAUAGUUUAUAAAGAAUGUUAAUUUUGGAGAUUAAUGGUAUGAUACUCUCGUUUUUCUGA